CCGAGUUAGGGUCUUAUAGGCCCGACCUCCAACCCUUUGUUUACUAUACCAUGUUGCUUUGGCGGGCCCGCCUUUCGGGGCCGCCGGGGGCUUUCACGCCCCUGGUCAGUGCCCGCCAGUAGCCUUAUUAAAUUCUUUUAUAAUUAUGCUGUCUGAGUCUAAAUAUGAAUCGUUA
rnacentral:misc_RNA from 1 species